ACGGCCAUACCAUGCUGAAUAUACCGGUUCUCGUUAGAUCACCGAAGUCAAGCAUCAUUGGGCGCGGUCAAUACUUGGGUAGGUGACACCUGGGAACACCGCAUGCCG
rnacentral:rRNA from 1 species